rnacentral:rRNA from 1 species
ACAGAGGUGGCAAGCGUUGUUCGGAAUUACUGGGCGUAAAGGGCGCGUAGGCGGCCAUCUAAGUCAGACGUGAAAUCCCCCGGCUUAACUGGGGAACUGCGUCUGAUACUGGGUGGCUUGGAUUUGGGAGAGGAAUGCGGAAUUCCAGGUGUAGCGGUGAAAUGCGUAGAUAUCUGGAGGAACACCGGUGGCGAAGGCGGCAUUCUGGACCAAUAUUGACGCUGAGGAGCGAAAGCCAGGGGAGCAAACGGGA